AGAAAAUGGGUGGGCUGGGAGCAGAUACUGCAGUGAUCUGGAACCUACUCUUCAGGAAGCAUCUCUCUCUCUCAUUGGUCCCUGAUGAAUCUCAGCCACCAUGGAGAAUUAACCAGGAGGCAGACCAGGUGCUUGAGAGCUACUAAUGAACCCUAACUCUAAGGACUAAUACAAUGGUCCUGAGCUUGAUUCUGUGUGAAAUCCUGGAGAGAUAACACUCUGCUGAAGUACAGGCCAGAGUUCUAAGUGGAAGGAAAAGGAGUAUGCCUAAUUUGCUCUGCUAUCCCAGUUACAUAAGCACCUAGAGAAAAUGAACAGAAGAAGCCUGAUUGAUAAACCCUGAAGUUUGUUCUUAAACGUGACUCCGUCCUUUCUCAGGCAAACAC